rnacentral:rRNA from 1 species
CCUACGGGUGGCAGCAGUGAGGAAUAUUGGUCAAUGGCCGGAAGGCUGAACCAGCCAUGCCGCGUGAAGGUCAGUGCCCUAUGGGCGUUAAACUUCUUUUGUGCGGGCGCAAUAAUGGUCACGUGUGGCCAGACGAGAGUACCGUACGAAUAAGCAUCGGCUAACUCCGUGCCAGCAGCCGCGGUAAUACGGGGGAUGCAAGCGUUAUCCGGAGUUAUUGGGUUUAAAGGGUGCGUAGGCUGUGAGGUAAGUCAGCGGUGAAAUGCCCCCGCUCAACGGGGUGAAGUGCCAUUGAUACUGCCUGGCUGGAAUGCGGAUGCCGUGGGAGGAAUGUGUGGUGUAGCGGUGAAAUGCAUAGAUAGCACACAGAACACCGAUUGCGAAGGCAUCUCACGAAUCCGCGAUUGACGCUGAUGCACGAAAGCGUGGGUAUCAAACAGGAUUAGAUACCCCUGUAGUC